ncrna:Sarcophilus harrisii (Tasmanian devil) microRNA sha-mir-93 precursor
UUGGGGGGCUCCAAAGUGCUGUUCGUGCAGGUAGUGUAAUAACCCAACCUACUGCUGAGCUAGCACUUCUCGAGCCCCUAA